GGUCACCAGGUUAACCUCAGGCUUGAGCCGUGUUGGUAGACUUGGGCUUGAGUGGAGCUUGGGCAGCUGGGUCAGUAGACUUGGGCUUGAGCUGAGCUUGGUCAGCCGUGUCGGUAGACUUGGGCGUGGGCAAAACUUAACUUGGUCGGCCGUGUUGGUAGACACGGGCAUGGGCAAAACUUGGUUGGCUGUGUCGGUUGACUUGGACGUGAGCGGAACUUGGUCGGCCGGGUCGGCAGGCUUGGACGUGAGCGGAACUUGGUCGGCUGGGUCAGCAGGCUUGGACAUGAGCAGAACUUGGUCAACUGGGUCAGCAGGCUUGGACAUGAACGGAACUUGGUCGGCCGGGUCAACAGGCUUGGACAUGAAUGGAACUUGGUCGGCCGGGUCAGCAGGCUUGGACAUGAAUGGAACUUGGUCGGCCGGGUCAGCAGGCUUGGACAUGAGCAGAACUUGGUCAACUGAGUCAGUAGACUUGGGCGUUAGCAGAGCUUGGUUGUCCGUGUUAACAUACACUUGGUGGUUCAUCCACUCAUAAUGCAUGUGGAAUGGCAGGUCAGCCUUGUUUGCCGCAUUGACUCCCUUCAACAGCUUUUCUAGGUUGUAGCUCUGCCCUGGUUCUCCAAACUCCUUCAAAAACAGGUCCAUAAAUUGCCUACUGUUCUCCAGUACCCGGGAUCUCAUGGCUACUAAUUGCUGCGCCCAAUUGUGCGCUGGGCCAAAAAACCGGGACACCAUGAACCUUAUCACAAGUAUUUGUAAUCUUUAACCAUCCUGUAUGUUCUCCUCUUUCUUCGUUCCUUCUUAUUUUGCAGGAUUCUGUCUGUAUUAUGCUAUUGCAUAAGGCCUUUUGCCACAUUCUGUGUUCCCACACACCAUUUACAUGUGCUAGGCUAUUCUUGCCUGUUAUCUUUUCUUCUGGAUCCAAUCCAGAGUGAUCAUUAUGACCCUCUAGCCAGUUCUGAAACAAGGCUAGUUUUUAUGGUGUAUUCCUAUGGGAUGGAAGUUUGACAAAAGAGGUCAGUAUUUUCCCUCUCCUGGUCGCUAGCCUAGUUUGUACCUUUUCUACUAGGUCUAUAGGUGCGUGGCAGGUCCUUGUGCUUACCACUUGCUUCAUCGCUGUCAUUACUAGGAUACCUUUUCCUUCUAAUAUUUCACACCUCCGACACUUAUUUACUUCCCAUCCAUGCCAGUCACAGAGGCAGGUCUUACCUAGCUCUCCAUAAGUGGAUGCACAGUCUGAACAUUUUAGACAGUCACAAUUCAGUCUAACCUCUUGUUCAAUAUCAUGGUUUUCGGGUAUUUCACUCUACAUGGUCCUCUAAGUCUUUGGUUAAAGGGCCUACAGCUCCUUUCUUCCCAACCCUGGGUGUGGGGUUGUAGGCCUCCCU
ensembl:lncRNA